rnacentral:hammerhead_ribozyme from 1 species
AUCCAGCUGACGAGUCCUAAAUAGGGCGAAACGUACAUCCUAGAU